rnacentral:rRNA from 1 species
CGGAGGGGGCUAGCGUUGUUCGGAAUUACUGGGGCGUAAAAGCGCACGUAGGCGGAUCAGCAAGUUAGGGGGUGAAAAUCCCGGGGCUCAACCCCCGGGAACUGCCUUUAAAAACUGUUGGUCUGGAGGUCGAGAGAGGCGAGUGGAAUUCCGAGUGUAGAGGUGAAAUUCGUAGAUAUUCGGAGGAACACCAGUGGCGAAGGCGGCUCGCUGGCUCGAUACUGACGCUGAGGUGCGAAAGCGUGGGGGAGCAAAACAGGAUU